ACACAUGCAAGUCGAACGGAACUUCUUUAAAGGAUUUCUUCGGAAUGAAUUUGAUUAAGUUUAGUGGCGGACGGGUGAGUAACGCGUGAGUAACCUGCCUCUAAGAGGGGAAUAACAUUCUGAAAAGAAUGCUAAUACCGCAUAACAUAUAUUUAUCGCAUGGUAGAUAUAUCAAAGAUUUAUCGCUUAGAGAUGGACUCGCGUCCGAUUAGUUAGUUGGUGAGGUAACGGCUCACCAAGACCGCGAUCGGUAGCCGGACUGAGAGGUUGAACGGCCACAUUGGGACUGAGACACGGCCCAGACUCCUACGGGAGGCAGCAGUGGGGAUAUUGCGCAAUGGGGGAAACCCUGACGCAGCAACGCCGCGUGAAGGAUGAAGGUCUUCGGAUUGUAAACUUCUUUUAUUAAGGACGAAGAAAGUGACGGUACUUAAUGAAUAAGCUCCGGCUAACUACGUGCCAGCAGCCGCGGUAAUACGUAGGGAGCAAGCGUUGUCCGGAUUUACUGGGUGUAAAGGGUGCGUAGGCGGCUUUGCAAGUCAGAUGUGAAAUCUAUGGGCUCAACCCAUAGCCUGCAUUUGAAACUGCAGAGCUUGAGUGAAGUAGAGGCAGGCGGAAUUCCCCGUGUAGCGGUGAAAUGCGUAGAGAUGGGGAGGAACACCAGUGGCGAAGGCGGCCUGCUGGGCUUUAACUGACGCUGAGGCACGAAAGCGUGGGUAGCAAACAGGAUUAGAUACCCUGGUAGUCCACGCUGUAAACGAUGAUUACUAGGUGUGGGGGGUCUGACCCCUUCCGUGCCGGAGUUAACACAAUAAGUAAUCCACCUGGGG
rnacentral:rRNA from 1 species